AGAGACAGACAGCCGAGGGGAGACAACAUGUAGAGUCGGCGUAUUUUCACAUAAAAACUCGGUGAAAUAAGAGUUUAUUACGACCAAACCAGAGUUGGUGAUUGUUGGAGACUAACGACGACGGUUUUGGUGAGUUUUAUUUAGUUUCUGUCCAGUUUGAAUGAAGUGU